rnacentral:rRNA from 3 species
AAGGGCGCACGGUGGAUGCCUUGGUACUAGGAGCCGAAGAAGGACGGGACUAACACCGAUAUGC